ensembl:lncRNA FTX FTX transcript, XIST regulator
UGGCAUCAGCGUUGCGGCUCGAGGCAAAGCUGGUCCUGUGCCUGCUGUCCAUUGCCGCUAAGGCCUGCUGCUGCCAUUCAGGCGUGUCUCUCUCUCUCUCUCUCUUUCAUGCCGCUCUCUCCACCCCAUCUUGGGACGGCCAGCUCUAAGAAUUCCUGCUACGACACUGAAUUCAACCAGGAGGUGAUGCCACACUCAAUCAGAAACUAUGCUACUGCUGAAGAGGUAUAUUGAGCCCUGCCUGGUUAACCUCCAGUGAGGUUAUUAGAGAAUUGGGAGAGGCUCAAAUCAGCAUCCUGCACCUAGUUAUCAAACCAUUGUGAAGUCUUGAUUCCUGGAUGGCCAGAAAACUUGUCAUUGGUCAAGAGCAACAUUAAGAUCUGCCUGUUACUCAUACUGAUGCUUCCUGCCCAGCAAGUUCAUCAGAGGGCGAGGAUGAAUUACGGUUGCCAUGAAUGUCCUUGUGAGGCAGUUGGGAAGCCUUGGCUGGAUUGUGAAGGAUAUUUGAAAAGUAUUUUAGAGUCCACCAGAUCAUCCAUGUGAGUGACCAUGCAGCAAAAGAAGGAGGGUCCUCUCAGUGAUUAAGGAUUAUGAAGUAUUAAUUCUUCCACUGAUAUCUCAAAAGGUGAUCUGGACAAAGGAACAGGUAUCUCAGUCUUGCUGUGUCAGCCAGGUCCAAGUGCAGUGGCACAAUCUCCGCUCACUGCAACCUCCACCUCCUGGGUUCAAGUGAUUCUACUGCCUCAGACUCCCGAGUAGCUGGGAUUACAGGCACUUGCCACCAUGCACAGUGCAGAUGCUUUUUAGUUUGAUGCAACUCAAGUUGUCUGUUGCGGGAAGUCAGGGACCCCAAACGGAGGGACUGGCUGAAGCCAUGGCGGAAGAACGUGGAUCGUGAAGAUUUCAUGGACAUUUAUUAGUUCCCCAAAUUAAUACUUUUAUAAUUUCUUAUGCCUGUCUUUACUGCAAUCUCUAAACAUAAAUUGUGAAGAUUUCAUGGACACUUAUCACUUCCCCAAUCAAUACCCUUGUGAUUUCCUAUGCCUGUUUUAAUCUCUUAAUCCUGUCAUCUCGUAAGCCGAGGAGGACGUAUGUCGCCUCAGGACCCUGUGAUAAUUGUGUUAAGUGCAGAAAUUGUAGAGCAUGUGUGUUUAAACAAUAUGAAAUCUAGGCACCUUGAAAAAAGAACAGGAUAACAGCAAUGUUCAGGGAAUAAGAGAGAUAACCUUAAACUCUGACCGCCGGUGAGCCAGGCGGAACAGAGCCAUAUUUCUCUUCUUUCAAAAGCAAAUGGGAGAAAUAUCGCCGAAUUCUUUUUCUCAGCAAGGAACAUCCCUGAGAAAGAGAAUGUGCCCCUGAGGGUGGGCCUCUAAAAUGGCCCCCUUGGGUGUAGCUGUCUUCUAUGGUCGAGACUGUAGGGAUGAAAUAAGCCCCAGUCUCCCAUAGCGCUCCCAGGCUUAUUAGGACGAGGAAAUUCCCACCUAAUAAAUUUUGGUCAGACAGGUUGCUCUCAAACCCUGUCUCCUGAUAAGAUGUUAUCAAUGACGAUGGUGCCCGAAACUUCAUUAGCAAUUUUAAUUUCAACCCAGUCCUGUGGUCCUGUGAUCUCGCCCUGCCUCCAUUUGCCUUGUGAUAUUCUAUUACCUUGUGAAGCACGUGAUCUCUGUGACCCACCUCCUAUUCGUAUACUCCCUCCCCUUUGAAAAUCCCUAAUAAAAACUUACUGGUUUUACGGCUCAGGGGGCAUCACGGAACCUACCGACAUGUGAUGUCUCCCCAGGAUGCCCAGCUUUAAAAUUUCUCUCUUUUGUACUCUGUCCCUUUAUUUCUCAACCCGGCCAAUGCUUAGGGAAAAUAGAAAAGAACCUAUGUGACUAUCUGGGCAGGUUCCCUGAUAGUUGUCUGGCUGUUUUUGCUGCCCAUGCUUUUAAGGAUGUAUCCAAGAAAUCAUUGCCCAGAACAAC